GAAAUGCGAUACGUAUUGCGAAUUGCAGAAUCCAGUGAGUCAUCGAACCUUUGAACGCAUCUUGCGCUUCCGGGUAACCGGGAGCAUGUCUGCUGGAGUGCCUGUUCUCAACCACAACUUCAAACUCGAUUGUAUUAAGUGGGUCGGUCCUGUGUAUUUCCCCCUGUAACGGGAAGAAGAACACAGGACCUUAAGAUGAAAGGCACAACCCCAACAGCGCUUUUUUUUGUUCUUCUUUGAAAAGCCUGAGUUGUGAGUGUCGUGAGUGUUUUUUUCAUAUUUACACCCUCCUCACUCAAUUCAAAAAGCAACUCUUUCUUUCUCAAAACCAAAAAAUAUACAAGCCUGUUUACUUGAAUCGGGCCUCCAGUCAGGCAAGAAGACCCGCUGAAUUUAA
rnacentral:misc_RNA from 1 species